rnacentral:rRNA from 1 species
GAUGAACGCUAGCUAUAGGCUUAACACAUGCAAGUCGAGGGACCGGCGCACGGGUGAGUAACGCGUAUCCAACCUGCCCAUAACUAAGGGAUAACCCAGCGAAAGUUGGACUAAUACCUUAUGGUUAUGGAUGGGGAUGCGUCUGAUUAGCUUGUUGGCGGGGUAACGGCCCACCAAGGCAACGAUCAGUAGGGGUUCUGAGAGGAAGGACCCCCACAUUGGAACUGAGCCACGGUCGAAUCUCCUACGCGAGGCAGCAGUGAGGGAUAAUGUUCAAUGGACGCAAGACUGAACCAGCCAAGUAGCGUGCAGGAUGGCGGCGUAUGGUUUGUAAACCGCUUUUAUAUGGGAAUAGGUACCAUAUGAAUAAGGACCGGCUAAUUCCGUGCCAGCAGCCGCGGUAAUAC